UACGUAGGCAGCAAGCGUUGUUCGGAGUUACUGGGCGUAAAGGGUGUGUAGGCGGUUCUUUAAGUUUGGUGUGAAAUCUCCCGGCUCAACCGGGAGGGUGCGCCGAAUACUGAGGGACUAGAGUGUGGGAGAGGAAAGUGGAAUUCCUGGUGUAGCGGUGAAAUGCGUAGAUAUCAGGAGGAACACCGGUGGUGUAGACGGCUGUCUGGACCAUAACUGACGCUGAGACACGAAAGCGUGGGUAGCAAACAGG
rnacentral:rRNA from 1 species